UACGGAGGGUGCAAGCGUUGUCCGGAUUCAUUGGGUUUAAAGGGUGCGCAGGCGGGACAUUAAGUCAGGGGUGAAAGACGGUUGCUCAACAAUCGCAGUGCCUUUGAUACAGGUGUUCUUGGGUGACCUUGAGGUAGGCGGAAUGGGUGGUGUAGCGGUGAAAUGCAUAGUUACCACCCAGAACUCCGAUUGCGAAGGCAGCCUACUGGAGGUUAACCGACGCUCAGGCACGAAAGCGUGGGGAUCAAACAGG
rnacentral:rRNA from 1 species